GACAGAGGGUGCAAACGUUGUUCGGAAUUACUGGGUGUAAAGGGUUCGUAGGCGGUGUGGCAAGUCGGGAGUGAAAUCUCUGGGCUCAACCCAGAGUCUGCUUCCGAAACUGCUGUGCUUGAGUGUGGGAGAGGCGCGUGGAAUUGCAGGUGUAGCGGUGAAAUGCGUAGAUAUCUGCAGGAACACCUGUGGCGAAAGCGGCGCGCUGGACCACUACUGACGCUGAGGAACGAAAGCUAGGGGAGCAAACAGG
rnacentral:rRNA from 1 species